UAAACUCGAUUAUACCUACUCAGGUGCUUUGUGACGUUUGAGUCUACGGUUCGGCGUCGUUUCUUUCUUCUUUGUUCAUUUUGGUUUUCAAACGGCUUACACGAUAUACAGCUGGCUUGCUAUGUUUGGUAUCGGGAGUAGAAAAGUGCUCAAGUAUUCCGCCAUUGACACUUCCUUAGCCCUGGACGUCGAGGACACCGUAACUUGCUUCUGCAGUACGCGCGAGAAAUUUAGUGGAAUCAGCGAUAAUCACUUGGAGUCAUCGUCAUCGUCCUCGGUAUCCGCAUCGGGGAUACAUACGCCGAUAAUGAUGCGGUCGCCGGCACGGGGGGCAGUCGCCCUUAUGGAGACGACGACGUCCUCAGCCUCGGCGCCCGCCACCCCCGUGCACAACUCCUCCUCGUCCUCGUCCUCGGCCACCGGAGCGACGAACGUCUCCUCGCGACUCUCCCUCUUUGAUACCUGCCACAGGAAGAUACGACUCUUCGGUGAACUAGUCGCAAAAGCCCGACGGAAGGAGAAAGAUGCUGGAGCCACGGAAGAUCCCAAAUUGUACCUUGAGGAAGCCGCUUUGGAACGGCAGCUUCCGGAACUUGACCUGAGGAUGCUCGUCGACCUACCGGCUGGUCUCGAUUACAACGAAUGGCUGGCCUCCCACACUCUGGCACUUUUUGACCACAUCAAUCUCUUCUAUGGAACGAUAUCAGAGUUUUGUACGAUGACCGGAUGCCCCGACAUGACGGGCCCUGGUUUGAGGACAUAUUUAUGGUUUGACGAAAAAGGAAAAAAGACUAGAGUGGCUGCUCCACAAUACAUAGACUACGUCAUGACAUUUACACAACGUACUGUCAGUGACGAAACAAUAUUCCCUACUAAAUAUGCCAACGAGUUUCCAAGCUCGUUUGAAUCGAUAGUGCGUAAGAUCCUGCGAUUGCUGUACCAUGUUGUUGCGCACAUAUAUCACUGUCACUUUAGGGAAGUUGCACUAUUGGGAUUGCAUGCGCAUCUCAAUUGUGUAUUCGCCCAUCUUACACUUCUUAAUCAACGCUUCAACCUUAUCGACCCGAAGGAGACUGAGAUCCUUGGGGACUUAGAAGCUGCUCUUUUAGGUGAUUCUACGCCUGCUUCUUCACAACCCCCAGCCAUCCAGGAAACUCCAACCACGACUACCUAGGUAGAUCCUGUUAAAUGAAGCUAGAGGUUGCAGUUCCUGAGAUCAGAUAACGCUAGACGUUAACUGUUGACUAUAGAGUUAUGAGAAUUUUGGAGUUUCCAUACAGAAUAUAGGCAAGUGGAUGAAAAGCGCAGUUCUGUAAAAACCAGUAGUACCUGUACAUAGAGAAGUGUGGAAAACAACUACAUGAUGUAAUUAGGGUUCCUCUGUUUGUUGUUUCUACAUGGGAUCCAGAUUAGACGGAACGAAUAAACUACCCCUUUGCAAAAUACGUGUACUUCUGCAACAGGAUUUCUACUAGCUGAAACAAUCGCACACAAAGAAGAAUCAGUACUCGAGAAUGACGUAACAAAAUGUUCGAUAGUAACUGCUGUUCCGUUCAUUAAUACAUUAUUCAUUUCCGUUAUUGUGAUACAAUCGACCUUUAGACUCAUGGAAUAAUGACGUUACCUAUAUUUUUAUACUAGUUACAAGCGGCAUACAUAAUUAAUUAGGAUAAUUCUACUAGUUAUUACUAGUUGUAUGACUUAUUGUGUAGCCUCUUGUCACGUACAACUGUUGGUGCAAUUGUUCACUUCCACAAUCCUAAACGCCCUGAAUACCUGAGCUAUCUCUCUUAAAAAGAAACCAAGUCCCUCGGCUAUUGGUUCACAGAGAUCUCGAAAAGAUGUAGCUAUGUUGUACAAUAGUAUGAGUACCGGUUGUAUCGUGGCAUUGAAUAAUAUUGACAAUGAAGGCUUCAGAAAGUAAUCGGCAAUCAUUUGUACUACUCCCACUGUAAGUGGCCUUACUAUGCUGAAGAGCAAAAAUCUUAUCAGCUGUAGUAUAAAAGCUGUGACAAAGGCUAUCCCUAUGUGAAUUGUACCGAAUAUUUCAGCCCAGAAACGAGUCGCGAUGUAAUCCGUUCGUUCCGCGCAUUUCUCUGUAGCGAGUAUCGGCGGGGCAUCAGUUGUUCGAUAGUACCUGUCGAUGCACAGUGACGACCCUUUUACUCAACCGUAACAGUUACUUUUGACUAUCUAUUAUUAAAGAAAUGGUAGGAAAUUUUAGAAAAACGUACGCCGAAUUGCCGUGAUCAAAGUAGUAGAUGUCUAUCUUUUCCGACGUAUCGUCAAUGCCGUUUCCCGAAGAUUUUGGUUUUUCAAAAUCCCGUUUCUUCUUAUUGGGAAUGCCUUCUGAUAGUUCACAGCAUACAUAGCUCUAAAUUAAACUCACUUACUAUAAAAUAGUGAUUAGUGAUUGAACAUUUAAUCUGUACCUUUGGGUAAUUCUGAUAAAGGUCCUUCUUAACUUUUA